GCUGGGCGUGGUGGAGAAUGCCUGUAAUCCCAGUGGCUUGGGAGGCUAAGGCAGGAGAAUUGCAAGCCCCACUUCCAUGAGCUGAGAAGCCUUUCUCCACCACACCCUUCUGCCAUAAUGUUCUGCCUUGCU
rnacentral:sRNA from 1 species